rnacentral:rRNA from 1 species
CCUACGGGUGGCAGCAGUGAGGAAUAUUGGUCAAUGGCCGGAAGGCUGAUCCAGCCAAGUCGCGUGAGGGAAUAAGGCCCUAUGGGUCGUAAACCUCUUUUGUCAGGGAGCAAAGGCGUCCACGAGUGUACGAAAGGAGAGUACCUGACGAAAAAGCAUCGGCUAACUCCGUGCCAGCAGCCGCGGUAAUACGGGGGAUGCGAGCGUUAUCCGGUUUUAGUGGGGUUAAAGGGUGGGUGGGCGGAGUGUCAAGUCAGCGGUAAAAUUUCGGGGCUCAACCCCGUGGUGCCGUUGAGACUGACACCCUUGAGUGAGUGAGAGGUAAGCGGAAUGCGUGGUGUAGCGGUGAAAUGCAUAGAUAUCACGCAGAACGCCGAUUGCGAAGGCAGCUUACCGGCGCUCAACUGACGCUGAGGCACGAAAGUGCGGGUAGCGAACAGGAUUAGAUACCCGGGUAGUC